CGGGGGGAGCGUUUGUUGCCAUCGUGGCAAUGUAUUGCGCCACCGCAUCAGUGGCGGCGCGAGUGGAAGCUUCUGUUAUCAUUCGUUGGAGUGCCUCCUCGGUUAUUUGAACCGUUCGGGAAGCAGGUAGAGGUGGAGCCUGUAGUGGAGGAUCGGCGAGUGGUGGGUCCCGAGGGGGAAUCACCUGAACCUCGCGUGGUGGAUCCGGAGCACGUGGAGGAGGUGGCAAGCCAGAGCCUCCUCGAACUGGGAGGUUGUUAGCUGUGUCAUUCUCUCUCCGAGUGGACUC
rnacentral:lncRNA from 1 species